rnacentral:rRNA from 1 species
AGCGAACGCUGGCGGCAGGCCUAACACAUGCAAGUCGAACGGAUCCUUCGGGAUUAGUGGCGGACGGGUGAGUAACACGUGGGAACGUGCCCUUUGGUUCGGAACAACUCAGGGAAACUUGAGCUAAUACCGGAUGUGCCCUUCGGGGGAAAGAUUUAUCGCCAUUGGAGCGGCCCGCGUCUGAUUAGCUAGUUGGUGAGGUAAAGGCUCACCAAGGCGACGAUCAGUAGCUGGUCUGAGAGGAUGAUCAGCCACAUUGGGACUGAGACACGGCCCAAACUCCUACGGGAGGCAGCAGUGGGGAAUCUUGCGCAAUGGGCGAAAGCUUGACGCAGCCAUGCCGCGUGAAUGAUGAAGGUCUUAGGAUUGUAAAAUUCUUUCACCGGGGACGAUAAUGACGGUACCCGGAGAAGAAGCCUCGGCUAACUUCGUGCCAGCAGCCGCGGUAA